rnacentral:snoRNA from 1 species
CGCCGAUGAAGAUUAAGAUUAAAUAUUUGCUACUCUCGAGGGUGAAAGACCCCUGUGACGACUAACUAAUCACCAAGAUCGCCGAGGCG